GAGAGCAGAGGUGUUCCCCACCACUGCACCCUGCUGCUCCUAUCCCUGCUCAUCGGGGCUGCCCGGGGAUCUUCCCUCACCAGAUAUUUCCGUUUCCCAAGUCAUUAUUUGGGUUUCCAUGAGCUAAUACGCCAGACUCAAAGGUCACCGCUCCAGGCCAGCCCGAGCAGUCACGCGGCAGGUGAUUCACACCUGACAAACCCGUCCUGGCCAGAGCAGGAGGCAGCACUAAAACGUCCUCCACUGCCAGGACAGGAGCGGUGCCUUCCCCAUCCACACCCUGGCACAGUGCUGCUUACAUGAGGAUGGAGCAACUCGUGACAGGAUCUAUCAGCAGCUCCUGGGACACUGCUCCUGCCAGCAAGCCUCAGCUCUCUGCAUGGAGGAAAACUGCUGAUCCCACCUUCACAGAUGCAUUGGGGCUGCAGGGUGGUGACAAUCGAAAUACAGUUACCAGCCUAGAGCAGCACCAGGAGAAAUAACUUCAUCUAUAAAUACCAGGAGAAAGCUUCAUUUGGGUUUGGAUCAUCUCUCCA